rnacentral:tRNA from 1 species
UGCGGUGUAGCUCUGCGGUAGAGAUCUUGCCUCGCAUGCACAAGGCCUUGGUUCCACCCCAGCACCGCAA